UGAUGCAGCGACGCCGCGUGAGGGAUGACGGCCUUUGGGUUGUAAACCUCUUUCAGCAGGGAAGAAGCGCAAGUGACGGUACCUGCAGAAGAAGCACCGGCUAACUACGUGCCAGCAGCCGCGGUAAUACGUAGGGUGCGAGCGUUGUCCGGAAUUAUUGGGCGUAAAGAGCUUGUAGGCGGUUUGUCGCGUCUGCUGUGAAAAUCCGGGGCUCAACCCCGGACUUGCAGUGGGUACGGGCAGACUAGAGUGUGGUAGGGGAGACUGGAAUUCCUGGUGUAGCGGUGAAAUGCGCAGAUAUCAGGAGGAACACCGAUGGCGAAGGCAGGUCUCUGGGCCAUUACUGACGCUGAGAAGCGAAAGCAUGGGGAGCGAACAGGAUUAGAUACCCUGGUAGUCCAUGCCGUAAACGUUGGGAACUAGGUGUGGGCCUCAUUCCACGAGGUCCGUGCCGCAGCUAACGCAUUAAGUUCCCCGCCUGGGGAGUACGGCCGCAAGGCUAAAACUCAAAGGAAUUGACGGGGGCCCGCACAAGCGGCGGAGCAUGCGGAUUAAUUCGAUGCAACGCGAAGAACCUUACCAAGGCUUGACAUACACCGGACACAUCCAGAGAUGGGUGCCCCGCAAGGGUC
rnacentral:rRNA from 1 species